ACGAACGCUGGCGGCGUGCCUAAUACAUGCAAGUCGCACGAGAGCGACCGGUGCUUGCACUGGUCAAUCUAGUGGCGAACGGGUGAGUAACACGUGGGUAACCUGCCCAUCAGAGGGGGAUAACAUUCGGAAACGGAUGCUAAAACCGCAUAGGUCUUCGAACCGCAUGGUUUGAAGAGGAAAAGAGGCGCAAGCUUCUGCUGAUGGAUGGACCCGCGGUGCAUUAGCUAGUUGGUGAGGUAACGGCUCACCAAGGCCGUGAUGCAUAGCCGACCUGAGAGGGUGAUCGGCCACAUUGGGACUGAGACACGGCCCAAACUCCUACGGGAGGCAGCAGUAGGGAAUCUUCCGCAAUGGACGCAAGUCUGACGGAGCAACGCCGCGUGAGUGAAGAAGGUUUUCGGAUCGUAAAACUCUGUUGUUAGAGAAGAACAAGUGCUAGAGUAACUGUUAGCGCCUUGACGGUAUCUAACCAGAAAGCCACGGCUAACUACGUG
rnacentral:rRNA from 1 species